GCCGGAGAGCCGCGCCCGCGCUGAGCGAGGCCGGGCCGAUGGGCGCUGCUGGCCGGGGCGCGGACCGGCGGGCGGCGUUACUCCUUCACCAUGGACCACCCCAGCCCAAACCCCUCCGGCCUCAUCAGUUCUUCACAAACUUAUUGAUUCGUUGUCUAAAAGGCUGUGGCGUUUUUCUCUCACCCCAGCUGUGUGGACAGAGCCACACAUCCUCUGAACAACAACGGCUCUUGCGUGCAUGUUCCAGUGUUUCUUCUGUCAGAGAGCCCAGCAGAGCUGCAGCUCCUCCCGUGCCAGCCCUGAGCUGAGCCAGGAGUGCCCAGCAGAGAUGGUGAAGAUGACAAGGUCCAAAACUUUCCAAGCGUAUCUGCCAAACUGCCACCGAACGUACAGUUGUGUCCACUGCAGGGCCCACCUGGCCAAUCACGAUGAGCUGAUCUCCAAGGCAAGUAUCUGGUCAAGAACUUGGUAGGCUGCCCUCAGCCAUGGUCACUGAGCCUAAGUGUAGACAAAUACUGAACCACCCCAUGGCCUCCUGGGUUUGCUGGGCCCAGAAUGUCUGGAGCCCUGUGGACGGCACUGAGGGAAAUUGUGUGUGUGAGUGAGGGCAGCUACAUCGUGGUCUUGGCCGUGGUCUUUGCCAAGUGGUGGGUUUUGGGGGUCAGGCCACGGGCCUCUGAAGAUCCCACAGUAAGAUGAGUCAGUGACUUGUCAGAGCAGUUAAAUUCAUGUAAAGCAGAGGACAUGGACAGUACAAAGUAAGCCUGGAAAAUCUGUG